UAAGUUUGAUAUUGGAUCAUAAUGAAUGCUAGCUAUAUAUUUAACACAUGCAAGUUGAAUAUUAUUUUCAGAAAGCUGGGCUGAAGGAAAAGAGGCUCUUAGCUAAAGUGGUCUCGACCCACUUUAAAAGUACAGGGCGCUAGCUACAGCUUUUAUUUUAAGCCUAUGUUUAUUGGAAUUGGUAGUGUUGAAAAUAAAGUAGAAAAUAUGUGCGUAAUACGUGGGAAUCUGCCUAAUAGUUUCAGACAAAUCCUUAAGAAAGCUCAAAAGUAGUAUUUGAUGAAAAAAAAAGAUAGUGGUUAGGAGGUAGCUGGUCAUGUAAAGGAUGGCCAAGCCAAUGAUGCUUAGUUGGUCUUUUUGGAUGAUCAACAAUAAUGGGAGUGAGACACAGGCUGGACUCCCAAGGGGGGCAAUAUUGGGGAAUCUUGGACAAUGAGCAAAAGCCCGAUCCAGCAAUAUCAUUUGAGUGAAGAAGGGAAAUUCCACAUGUAAAUCUCUUUUGUUGAGUGCGUGAUCAAGAUAAAACUUGAGGAAGAAUCCUCAGCUAACUCUGUGCCAACAGCCACGGUAAGGCGUUGGGAGGGGGGAAAGUGUUCUUCGAAACGACUAGUCUUAAAGAGCACAUAGGCAGUGAAUCAAGUUUCAAGUUCAAGUCACAAAAAAUUGGCUAAAUGCUCUCAAAAUAAAUGUACUUGAGUGAGAUAGAGGGGAGUGGAAUUUUGUGACUAGGGGUGAAAUCUGUAGAUCUAUGAAGGAAUGCUAAAUGAGAAGAUAGCUCUUUGGGUCCCUAUUGAUGCUGGGGUGAGAAAGCAAGGGAAAAAAAUAGGAUUAGAUACCGUGGUAGUCCAUGCCAUAAAUGAUGAGUGUUUUCCCUUGGUUUACUUAGAUCAAGGGCCCAACUAAUGCCUGAAAUACUCUGCAUGGGGAGUACGGUCGCAAGAUCAAAACUCAAAUAAUUUGAUGUGGGACUAAACAAAAGGUGGAUCAUGUGGUUUAAUUUGAUACAAUGAGAAAAACCUUACCAGCCCUUGACAUAUGAAUAACAAAACAUGUCCUAAAUUGGAUGUUAGUUACUUUCACACAUGUGCUGCAUAGCUGUCGUCAGCUCGUGUUGUGAGAUUUUUGGUCAAGUCCUAUAACGAGUAAAACACUCAUUUUGUGUUGUUGAGACAUGCGCCUCAGGAAAAAUGGAAACUAAAGUGAGCCAAUGAGCUGAGUUAUAUGCAACUACUACUACUUAAAUUGUGUGCCAGCAUAUAAAUGUGCUUUAAGCAAGAAUUUAACCAUUAGGAGUUGGUGCCUUUCGAAGUAAUUUCACAUGUAAAUCAAAGCCAAGUUGCAUCAUGCAUUCCCCAUGAAGACCUACCUAUUGUGACAUCAAAGUUCGAGUGACCAUGGUGAUUUUGUUAGGAUUGGUUACGAAGAUGUCAAGUUAGCGGUGGAGGAAGACUUGGCAUUCAGACGAGCUACCUGGUGGUGUGGUGCGUAGUGGUAAUAGUAUGAUUUUUGCUACAAAAUAAAGGAAAAGGUGUGUGAUGCACUCAUGAGGGACUGCCAGUGAGACACUGGAGGAAGGUGGGGAUGAUGUUAAGUCUACAAGGCCAUUAUUAGCUGGGCCACACACGUGCUAUAAUGGCAAGGAUAAUGGGAAGCAAGGCUAUAAGGUAGAGAGAAUCCAGAAAGAUUGCCUUAAUUCGGAUUGUUCUCUACAACUCUGGAACAUGAAGUUGGAAUCUCUAGUAAUCAUCGAUCAACAUGCCACGAUGAAUAUAUACCCGAGCUCUAUAUACACAGCCGAUCACACCCUGGAAAUGGGUUUCCCCGGAAGCAUCGAAUCAAUGAUCACCCUCACAUGACUAUUAUUUACAACUAGUGUCAUAAAGGCUUUUGGUGGUCUUAUUGGCGCAUACCAAGGUGGGUUCUUUGACUGGGGUGAAGUCAUAAAAAGGUAGUUAUAGGGGAACCUGUGGCUA
rnacentral:ncRNA from 1 species